AGGAAUUUAUGGGAGAUUGAAUUUAAGUGCUAAUUAUUAGAAAGUCAAGUAGGCAGUGUGCAUAAAUUUCAAAACUUUUAAAAUAUGCAGCGAAAAACAAAAUGAUUUAAACCUUUUAACCCCAUAUAUAAGAGAUCAAAUCUAAUCCUACCCAAACCCAGGAGAAAACACAUAUAUAAUCUGAAAUUUAGAAAUAAAUAUGAGAUCAUAUCAAAUUACCUUGGCAUGGAUAGAUAUUCACUGCUUUUUAUGAUUAUGGAUUCA
rnacentral:lncRNA from 1 species